rnacentral:rRNA from 1 species
ACUCCUACGGGAGGCAGCAGUGGGGAAUAUUGCACAAUGGGCGCAAGCCUGAUGCAGCCAUGCCGCGUGUAUGAAGAAGGCCUUCGGGUUGUAAAGUACUUUCAGCAGUGAGGAAGGCGGAGUCGUUAAUAGCGGCCUCGUUUGACGUUAGCUGCAGAAGAAGCACCGGCUAACUCCGUGCCAGCAGCCGCGGUAAUACGGAGGGUGCGAGCGUUAAUCGGAAUUACUGGGCGUAAAGCGCAUGCAGGUGGUUUGUUAAGUCAGAUGUGAAAGCCCGGGGCUCAACCUCGGAAUUGCAUUUGAAACUGGCAGACUAGAGUACUGUAGAGGGGGGUAGAAUUUCAGGUGUAGCGGUGAAAAUGCGUAGAGAUACUGAAGGAAUACCGGUGGCGAAGGCGGCCCCCUGGACAGAUACUGACACUCAGAUGCGAAAAGCGUGGGGAGCAAACAGGAUUAGAUACCCUGGUAGGAUAGCG